rnacentral:rRNA from 1 species
UGGGGAAUAUUGCACAAUGGGCGCAAGCCUGAUGCAGCCAUGCCGCGUGAGUGAAGAAGGCCUUAGGGUUGUAAAGCUCUUUCAGUGGUGAAGAUAAUGACGGUAGCCACAGAAGAAGCCCCGGCCAACUCCGUGCCAGCAGCCGCGGUAAUACGGAGGGGGCUAGCGUUGUUCGGAAUUACUGGGCGUAAAGCGCGCGUAGGCGGAUCGGUUAGUUGGGGGUGAAAUCCCGAGGCUCAACCUCGGAACUGCCCUCAAUACUGCCGAUCUUGAGUUCGAGAGAGGUGAGUGGAAUUCCUAGUGUAGAGGUGAAAUUCGUAGAUAUUAGGAAGAACACCAGUGGCGAAGGCGGCUCACUGGCUCGAUACUGACGCUGAGGCGCGAAAGCGUGGGGAGCAAACAGGAUUAGAUACCCCCGUAGUCC